rnacentral:rRNA from 1 species
AAUACCAAGGCGCUUGAGAGAAUUCGGGUGAAGGAACUAGGCAAAAUGGUGCCGUAACUUCGGGAGAAGGCACGCUGAUAUGUAGGUGAGGUCCCUCGCGGAUGGAGCUGAAAUCAGUCGAAGAUACCAGCUGGCUGCAACUGUUUAUUAAAAACACAGCACUGUGCAAACACGAAAGUGGACGUAUACGGUGUGACGCCUGCCCGGUGCCGGAAGGUUAAUUGAUGGGGUUAGCGGUAACGCGAAGCUCUUGAUCGAAGCCC